UGUCUGCACCAGGCAACUCUCUGUUCUGCUGAGCUUCUGGAGACUUGUUGUGCUAUGUCAUGAGGGACCAUUUGAACUCUUCAGCCACACCCCACACCCUCCAAUAACAGCAGCUGCUCCAUUCAGAAGCCUCUCCAAUUCAAUAGAGAAACCACAUGGUUUUCUACUAAGAACCCAGUCCUGCAGAGUAUUCAGCCACCCUUGACCCUCCACAGAACCAGUGGAGAUGUGCUGUCUUUAUAGCAGAAGAUGGUACAGGAAGCGGUUUGCCUAAGGUCACAGAGCAGCAGCAUCCGCCAGCCACAGCCUCCCCAAAUGCUCCACCCUCAAGCUGCCGUGCAAGUACUGAUUUGGAGAGGAGAUUUAAAGACUCUGGGCCUGGUUCACCAUGGCUUUGCUCCAGCUACGAGCUGUUGUAACGGCAGUGAAAUCAAUGGUGCUGUGCGGACAGAAAGCAGGAGUAAUAGUGGUGAAUUGGAAGCACUGACUUCAGCGCGAGUUGCAUCUACAAACAACAGGGCUGAAUCCAGUACUCAGGGUCUGGGGAAAGAAAGGAGAAAGAUUUUCAGAGAGAUGGUGCAGCACAGUUGUCACCAGUGGGGAGCACAUGCAGCAAAGAGAAACCAUGUGGAUCUACUGGACUAGCAACCAGGGGAAUCAGUUAUUGUCCAGGCUAAGUGGCUUUAAACAAGUCACUUCCCUCCUUUUUCUCUCCUGGUUUAUUUUUUUCCUAGCACAAUGCUACUGUAAUACUCAACUGAGGGUGGUGAAGACCAAGGUACACACGUCAGUUUUCAGGUUUGACAGUCCUUUCCCAACUUUUGGUGAACUGGUUCUUUGCAGACAGACCGUGUUUUUCCAUUAUUUUACCAGAUUUGGGUGCACGAAUGCUAAUGAGAGUGUGCUUUGUAUUUGGCAAGCCCUUGCCCCACCUGAAGACAUUGCUGGGAGGUUUUCCACUGGGCAAGGCUCUGUGGGCUGUGAAUGUCCUCUAAGACCCUCGCGGGGUGACUUGUUACGUAUUGAGGGAGAGAGCAUCUGCAGGGAGUGUUUUCAAAAUAAGCAUCUUGAGGCAGGCUCCUAUGCUGCCCCUCACACGUAGGAGGAACUCCCUGAAAACCUCCACAAAGCCACCCCACUGUCCUCCUUCAAGUACCUCCUAAAACCUUGCUUUUGCCAGGAUGUCUGCAAAAAACUUGACUCCAGUUAGGUAGUCAGGGUGCUGAGACUCCAGCCUAUCAUGCUGCCGAAUAUUGUGUCCUUGUGCUUCCCCAUCUGUCAGUCUGUGUCUACCUGUCGCCUUGUGUCUUAUAUUUAGAUGGCAAAUUCUUUGGGGGCACAGACAGUCUUUUUGCUCUAUGUUUGUACAACACCUAACACAAUAGGGUUCUGCUCCAGGACUGGGGCUUCUUGGUUAUUUAUUUGUAUUGCACAAGUACUAACCCAAUUCUGAAUGUGUUAAGGGAAAGUAAGGAAUAAAGCUGGGUUGGGAGAAGUUCCUAAGACCCUGUUCAUUGGGUUACUUGGCUUCAGGGCUCUAAACACAACAUCCCACUUAAAAUCUGCAUGAGCAGACAGAGUAGCUAGUUUUGAAAGGGUGUUGGACUAUAGGGGAAGCGAGCACAAGCCCCCGUGAAGUGCGUGCCCCCCCCUCCGUGCUGUGACUAAGCCCAGAUACAGAAAGGUUGCAAUGGAGUUAGUCAUUUUAGCUCAAGUGACAGAUGUCAUGGGUCCAGGGCUUGUGGUAGAGGUUGAUUUCAGCACAGAGUCCCAUGGAUACAGCUGCCACCACUGCUAAUUUUCAGUUUUACCACCGCUUAAAUAAAUAAAUGAAAAAAAAAAAGCAGGCUGCCUCUUUAAACCUAUUUCCUAUUAAUCUGCUAUUAAAAUACCAGCCAGAGGGCAAAAUGGAGGGCUCCAUUCUUCAUUCGGAUAGCAAGGGACCUAAAUUGCUCCACUCUUGCAGCUGAAACAAGGUUUUUGUCUAACUCUAGCAGCUGACCUCUGAUCCUUCCUUUGUCCUGUCAAAAGGAACGGAGGUAAAGCUUAGAAGGAAUUCCUCCUUCACUUCCCAGCGUACUUAGUAUUAGUGGACAAGCGUCCAAGUUGUUCCACAUCCUCACUCUCUGCAAACACAUACAACACAAGGAGAGGGGAAGGGGAAAAAUAAGCUUUGGUGUGGUCUGAAUUGUUGAUUUUUUUGUUCAGCAUCGAUUGAGAACCAUUAAUGAGCAGAUUUCAGCAAAUGCAUUUAAGUAUUUGCAAGUGGGGAAGGAUGGUGUGGUUAAAACACUGGAUUCACCUUGGGCAAGUCAUUUAAUCUCUCUGGGCCUCAGCUCCUCCUGUGUAAAAUGUAGAUAAUUUUGCUUUCUCAGUGAUAGAAUAUGACAGUGAUGGGUGCCAUAUAUAGACUGAAUUAGACAAUAUUUCGAUUCUGCUGUCCCUUACAAUGAUUUUGUGCCAGGGCAUCUCCACUGAAGUCCCUGGAGUUACUUCUGAGUCACACCGGUGUAAGCGAGAUCAGAAUCUGAUGUUCAGAGAAAAUUAAGUGGUCUGCCCAAAGGCAUGCUGUAAUUCAUUGUCCAAACCAGGAUUAGAGAUCAAGAAUUGCUGGCUUCUAGCCCUGUAAUAGGCACGCUAUCUCAAGGUAUGGUCAUUAUACCGUCUUCCACCACUAAAAGGCAUCCCGCUCUGGGGGGAAAUGUAGCAGCUGUUUAACAUACAACAUACACAUAACCAGUUACGUAGGAAAGUGAGGAAGAAUCUCAUAUCCAACUGAAAC